rfam:Streptomyces sp. NRRL WC-3618 P435contig473.1, whole genome shotgun sequence.
CGAUAGCGGAUAGUACCGUGAGGGAAUGGUGAAAAGUACCGCGGGAGCGGAGUGAAAUAGUACCUGAAACCGUGUGCCUACAAGCCGUGGGAGCGUCGCGCGCCAAGUUUACUUGGUGCGUCGUGACUGCGUGCCUUUUGAAGAAUGAGCCUGCGAGUUUGCGGUGUGUUGCGAGGUUAACCCGUGUGGGGAAGCCGUAGCGAAAGCGAGUCCGAAUA